CGCUAUCACUCCUACGGGAGGCAGCAGUAGGGAAUCUUCCACAAUGGGCGCAAGCCUGAUGGAGCAACACCGCGUGAGUGAAGAAGGGUUUCGGCUCGUAAAGCUCUGUUGUUAAAGAAGAACACGUAUGAGAGUAACUGUUCAUACGUUGACGGUAUUUAACCAGAAAGUCACGGCUAACUACGUGCCAGCAGCCGCGGUAAUACGUAGGUGGCAAGCGUUAUCCGGAUUUAUUGGGCGUAAAGCGAGCGCAGGCGGUUUUUAAGUCUGAUGUGAAAGCCUUCGGCUCAACCGAAGAAGUGCAUCGGAAACUGGAAACUUGAGUGCAGAAGAGGACAGUGGAACUCCAUGUGUAGCGGUGAAAUGCGUAGAUAUAUGGAAGAACACCAGUGGCGAAGGCGGCUGUCUGGUCUGUAACUGACGCUGAGGCUCGAAAGUAUGGGUAGCAAACAGGAUUAGAUACCCUGGUAG
rnacentral:rRNA from 1 species